AAAGUCGUAACAAGGUUUCCGUAGGUGAACCUGCGGAAGGAUCAUUACAGAGAUCAUGCCCUUCGGGGUAGACCUCCCACCCUAUGUUUACAUUACCUUUGUUGCUUUGGCGGGCCGUUCAGCCCUGUGCUGAACUACCGGCUUAUGCUGGUAAGCGCCUGCCAGAGGACCCCAACCUCUGAAUGUUAUUGUCGUCUGAGUACUAUAUAAUAGUUAAAACUUUCAACAACGGAUCUCUUGGUUCUG
rnacentral:misc_RNA from 1 species